CGUAGCUGGAGGCGCUCUCUCUUCUCGGCGCUGAUUCAUAUUUUUCGCACAUUUGAAAUCAAAACUACUCUUUCUUCUUCUUCUUCUUCUUCUUUUUUUUUUUUUUUUCUUUUUUUGAUCAGCUUGUUUAUAGUUUUUGUUUGUUCGGGAUUCUACUUUGAUAUUUGUCGGUUAAGAAAAUUGUUUUUCUUUUGCUGUAUAUUGAUUGAAUCUGUGCAGUUAUGAGAUUAAUAACUGAAAGAUUAUGCCUUUCUGAUGGAUGCUGUAUGGUGGCCAGGAUUUUGGCGUCCUAAAACUGUUACUCAGGCAACCCAUUUGAUUUUCUUGAUUUUUUAUUUUUUUUUGGUAAUUAGGGUUAGGGUUUUCGCCUUUUAUUUCUUGUUGAUUAUCUUGUUCCAUGGGUUUUGAUCCCGGAAUGGGAAGAAAGAGAUGUGGGAAUACCGGUGAUGACAGCAUAAGGCAUGAGUGACAACAACAAAUAUUGCGCUUCCCCAGUAUUGGGGGUUGUUGUUUGCUAGGAUUAAUGUGCCAAAAUGCUAAUCUGAGGUAUAUUAUAGCUUUGGUUUUCGCAUUUCAUUUUUUUCUAGUUGGUUCUCCUGUUCCAUGGGUUUUGGUUCCAAGAGGGAAGAAAGAACAAUGGAAAUGCCGGUGAUGACAGUAGAAAGGCUUGAGCGGCAACAACAAAUAUUGCGCUCCCCAGUUUUGGGGGUUGUUGUUAGCAAGGAUUAAUGUGCCAAAAUGCUAAUCUGAGGCAUUUGAUUGUUUUGGUUUUGGUACCAGACCAGAUUGUUGCUAAUGUUGCUUUGUGAAUUCUUUGGUCUUUGUCCAAAACAGAUUUUAAUUAUUAUGAGAUAAUGGAUUUCUGUUUCUCAUAGUAAAAACAAAAGGAUGAUGCCUCAAUAUUGUGUCUAGUAAGUAAAUGUGAACUAGUACUCUGCUAGCUGCUUUUACCACUUAUGGAGUAAUUAAAAAAAAAUUAGUUGCUGCUUAUUGCUAUCUGUCAUGUUUUGUUUGGCUUGAUAAUAGAUGAAAAAAAUGGUGAUACUGCUGAACUUUUUGGGAGUUGUUCAACAGAAUGUGAAAGUUAAGAAAUAUAUUGAAGUGCUUAAUGAGGAUAUGGAGGCUGCAUAGAGCAACCAUCCUUCAUUAUUUAUGCAGGUUCUAAUUCCAUUUCAUCACUGUACAUCAUGCAAGGAAUUCAUGUUCUUAUUCUUGUUUUGCCAUUCUACUUAGUUUCCUAUUUAGUAAGUUUCUAAGCUAUUAAAAAACUGACCUGCAUUAUAUGACUAGUACAACUCCAUUUUAGCUCCAAUUAGACAUGUAGUAUACUAGUCUGGCUCCCUGGUCCAGAAUCUUAUUACUUUAUUCACUCAAACUUGGGCUUUCAAUGGGGUUAGUGCCAUUAAUCCAUUAUCACAGUGCCAAACGGGAGUGACAAACUACAAAUCACAUUACUAGUCUGGCUUCCUGGCCAAGAGUCCUAUCAUUUAUUCACUCAAACUUGGGAUUUCAAUGCGGUACUUAGCGUCAUUAUCUCAGUGCCAAACGAGAGUGGCAGACUACAAAUCAUAUACUCAAAACUGCCCUUACGCCAUGAAAGGCAAGAUGGCAGAAAAGGUCAUCUUAUCUGUCUGAAAGGCUGAAUCUUAGCUCUUUUCCUUCUCUUUCUCCUCCUACAAGGGGUAAAAAGCCCUAAACAGCUUACAGGCUGUCAUCUUCCUCCGAUAGGAUAAUUUGUCUAAGGGCUGGCUCUCCCUGAGUCAUCGCAGGACUUUACAAACAUUCUUGUCUCGAAUUGCUUUUUUAAGCAUAUGGGGUUUGAGAGGCAUUUUGUGGUUAGUCUGUCACUGCGCCAAUUGUUGGAUGCAAUUUGUAAGAGGGACAGGUACAUGGGCAUGUCUUUACAUGACCUAACUGAUCAUGGUGUUGCGAUAAGGUUCACUCCAAGUUAACUUUUUUUCCCUUACUCCCCCUGCUCCUGUCUACUAUUAUCUAGCCAAUGGAAAAGAGAGAAUGAAAAUGCGUUAUGCAUUCUUCUAUAGGCAAUAGCAGAAAAGUCUACAACUAGAUCCUAAACACAUAGAAUUGAAGAAAGCAUAUUUUGGCUUGCAAAACCUACCAAAGAAGAGCAAAAAUUCAAGCCUCCUUGAACAAAGCCUUUUGAAAUGGGAACAAUUUUCCAGAGAUGUGAAGUGAAAACCUUACCGAAAGAUUGGGAGGGAGCUGUGGCAGUCUGGCAGACGGUAAAAUUAGCAGCUGAAAAGGCUCCACAGAUUUGCGUUUCCUAUUUUUCUUCUGAAAAUUUUAUCAUUGCUUGCCUCAAGUACUAUGCUGACGUAAUUCUAAGCUAUCACAAAGACUCAAGCAACAACCUAUGAAAACAUUUCCCAUUUGCUUCAGGUUCAUGACAAAGAUUCUGUCAAAUACAUUUGGUUUGGGUUGGCUGACAAUGCAUUCUGGUUACCAGAAGGCUCCAAAAGCUGGUACAGCAAUUUUGGUUAAAGACUCAAUCAGUGUAAAAUGCAAUGUUUCUUCCAUGUUCCUGAUUCUAUUGUGUACCUGAGAUGACAACACUACCCGAUUGGGAAUUUGAUUCAUAGGAAAUUAUUACUCCUUACCCCAUCUUAGAAUCUGAAUUCAUAUUGCAAUUAGCUCCCUGUCACCUCAAGACAUCAAUGGGGGUCAGGGAGACAUUUGAAAAAGCCUAUUUGUUCUUUGUUCCGUGGGUGGAACAAAUUCCCCUUGACAACAUAAAUAACAGCUAUACAUUUCUUGGGAA